rnacentral:rRNA from 1 species
GCUAUACUGCAGUCGAGCGGACAGAUGGGAGCUUGCUCCCUGAUGUUAGCGGCGGACGGGUGAGUAACACGUGGGUAACCUGCCUGUAAGACUGGGAUAACUCCGGGAAACCGGGGCUAAUACCGGAUGCUUGAUUGAACCGCAUGGUUCAAUUAUAAAAGGUGGCUUUUAGCUACCACUUACAGAUGGACCCGCGGCGCAUUACCUAGUUGGUGAGGUAACGGCUCACCAAGGCAACGAUGCGUAGCCAACCUGAAAGGGUGAUCGGCCACACUGGGACUGAAACACGGCCCAAACUCCUACGGGAGGCAGCAGUAGGGAAUCUUCCGCAAUGGACAAAAGUCUGACGGAGCAACGCCGCGUGAGUGAUGAAGGUUUUCGGAUCGUAAAACUCUGUUGUUAGGGAAAAACAAGUACCGUUCGAAUAGGGCGGUACCUUGACGGUACCUAACCAAAAAGCCACGGCUAACUACGUGCCAGCAGCCGCGGUAAUACGUAGGUGGCAAGCGUUGUCCGGAAUUAUUGGGCGUAAAGCGCGCGCAGGCGGUUUCUUAAGUCUGAUGUGAAAGCCCCCGGCUCAACCGGGGAGGGUCAUUGGAAACUGGGGAACUUGAGUGCAAAAAAGGAGAGUGGAAUUCCACGUGUAGCGGUGAAAUGCGUAAAGAUGUGGAGGAACACCAGUGGCGAAGGCGACUCUCUGGUCUGUAACUGACGCUGAGGCGCGAAAGCGUGGGGAGCGAACAGGAUUAGAUACCCUGGUAGUCCACGCCGUAAACGAUGAGUGCUAAGUGUUAAGGGUUUCCGCCCUUUAGUGCUGCAGCAAACGCAUUAAGCACUCCCUGGGG